rnacentral:rRNA from 1 species
AGAGUUUGAUCCUGGCUCAGGACGAACGCUGGCGGCGUGCUUAACACAUGCAAGUCGAACGGAAAGGUCUCUUCGGAGAUACUCGAGUGGCGAACGGGUGAGUAACACGUGGGUGAUCUGCCCUGCACUUUGGGAUAAGCCUGGGAAACUGGGUCUAAUACCGGAUAGGACCGCGCCAUGCAUGUGGUGUGGUGGAAAGCUAUUUGCGGUGUGGGAUGGGCCCGCGGCCUAUCAGCUUGUUGGUGGGGUGAUGGCCUACCAAGGCGACGACGGGUAGCCGGCCUGAGAGGGUGUCCGGCCACACUGGGACUGAGAUACGGCCCAGACUCCUACGGGAGGCAGCAGUGGGGAAUAUUGCACAAUGGGCGCAAGCCUGAUGCAGCGACGCCGCGUGGGGGAUGACGGCCUUCGGGUUGUAAACCUCUUUCACCAUC